GACGAACGCUGGCGGCGUGCCUAAUACAUGCAAGUAGAACGCUGAAGGAGGAGCUUGCUUCUCUGGAUGAGUUGCGAACGGGUGAGUAACGCGUAGGUAACCUGCCUUGUAGCGGGGGAUAACUAUUGGAAACGAUAGCUAAUACCGCAUAAGAGUAGAUGUUGCAUGACAUUUGCUUAAAAGGUGCAAUUGCAUCACUACCAGAUGGACCUGCGUUGUAUUAGCUAGUUGGUGGGGUAACGGCUCACCAAGGCGACGAUACAUAGCCGGCCUGAGAGGGUGAUCGGCCAAACUGGGAAUGGGACACGGCCCAGACUCCUACGGGGGGGAGCAGGAGGGAAACUUCGGAAAUGGAGGGAAGUCUGACCGAACAACGCCGCGGGAGUGAAGAAGGUUUUCGGAUCGGAAAGGUCUGUUGGAAGGGAAGAAAGAGUGUGAGAGUGGAAAGUUCCCACUGUGACGGUACCCAAACAGAAAGCGACGGCUAACUACGUG
rnacentral:rRNA from 1 species